UACAGAGGAUGCAAGCGUUAUCCGGAAUGAUUGGGCGUAAAGCGUCUGUAGGUGGCUUUUAAGUCCGCCGUCAAAUCCCAGGCUCAACUCUGGACAGGCGGUGGAAACUACCAAGCUUGAGUACGGUAGGGCAGAGGGAAUUUCCGGUGGAGCGGUGAAAUGCGUAGAGAUCGGAAAGACACCAACGGCGAAAGGCACUCUGCUGGGCCGACACUGACACUGAGAGACGAAAGCGUGGGGAGCAAACAGG
rnacentral:rRNA from 1 species